rnacentral:rRNA from 1 species
UACAGAGGGUGCGAGCGUUGUCCGGAAUCACUGGGCGUAAAGGGCGCGUAGGCGGCCUGGUAGGCGUGCGGUGAAAGCCCGGGGCUCAACCCCGGGUCGGCCGUGCGAACUGCGAGGCUGGAGCACUGUAGAGGCAGGUGGAAUUCCGGGUGUAGCGGUGGAAUGCGUAGAGAUCCGGAAGAACACCGGUGGCGAAGGCGGCCUGCUGGGCAGUGGCUGACGCUGAGGCGCGACAGCGUGGGGAGCAAACAGG